rnacentral:rRNA from 1 species
GUUUCCGUAGGUGAACCUGCUGCUGGAUCAUUACCCAA